GAUGAACGCUGGCGGCGUGCCUAACACAUGCAAGUCGAACGAAGCACCUUUUAAGAUUCUUCGGAUGAUUGAUCGGUGACUGAGUGGCGGACGGGUGAGUAACGCGUGGGUAACCUGCCCUGUACAGGGGGAUAACAGUUGGAAACGGCUGCUAAUACCGCAUAAGCGCACGAGAGGACAUCCUCUUGUGUGAAAAACUCCGGUGGUACAGGAUGGGCCCGCGUCUGAUUAGCUGGUUGGCAGGGUAACGGCCUACCAAGGCGACGAUCAGUGUCCGGUCUGGGAGGAUGAACGGCCACAAUGGAACUGAGACACGGUCCAAACUCCUACGGGAGGCAGCAGUGGGGAAUAUUGCACAAUGGGGGAAACCCUGAUGCAGCAACGCCGCGUGAGUGAAGAAGUAUUUCGGUAUGUAAAGCUCUAUCAGCAGGGAAGAUAAUGACGGUACCUGACUAAGAAGCUCCGGCUAAAUACGUGCCAGCAGCCGCCGUAA
rnacentral:rRNA from 1 species